rnacentral:rRNA from 1 species
GACGAACGCUGGCGGCGUGCCUAACACAUGCAAGUCGAGCGGGGUUGAAGCGAGAGGUAACUCGAGCUUCUACCUAGCGGCGGACGGGUGAGUAACGCGUGGGCAACCUGCCUCAAGGUUUGGGAUAACAGCCCGAAAGGGCUGCUAAUACCGGAUAUGCCUAUGGCCUCGCAUGGGGCUAUGAGCAAAGGGGAAACCCGCCUUGAGAUGGGCCCGCGUCCCAUCAGCUAGUUGGUGAGGUAACAGCUCACCAAGGCGACGACGGGUAGCCGGCCUGAGAGGGUGACCGGCCACACUGGGACUGAGACACGGCCCAGACUCCUACGGGGGGCAGCAGUGGGGGAUCUUGCACAAUGGGCGAAAGCCUGAUGCAGCGACGCCGCGUGAGCGAAGAAGGCCUUCGGGUUGUAAAGCUCUGUCUGGAGGGACGAACAAAAUGACGGUACCUCCGGAGGAAGCCACGGCUAACUACGUGCCAGCAGCCGCGGUAAUAUCACGUGUACG